UACGUAGGGUGCAAGCGUUAAUCGGAAUUACUGGGCGUAAAGCGUGCGCAGGCGGUUUUGUAAGACAGAUGUGAAAUGCCCGGGCUUAACCUGGGAACUGCAUCCGAGACUGCAUUGCUAGAGUAUGGGAGAGGGAAGCGGAAUUUCUGGUGUAGCAGUGAAAUGCGUAGAUAUCAGAAGGAACAUCAGUGGCGAAGGCGGCUUCCUGGACCAAUACUGACGAUCAGGUGCGAAAGCGUGGGGAGCAAACAGG
rnacentral:rRNA from 1 species